AAUGAAAAAGGCUUAAAAACAAAAGAACCGAUGCUUAACUUGGGCCUUUAAGGAUUGGUAAGUACCCUUGCGUGUCACUUUUUUAGUGGACCUCCUCUUUAUGUCCCUCUCUCCUUCUGUGGUAUCGCAGCUACUGUUUUCUCCAUCAUCAUGUACGCUUCUCCACUCUCAAUCAUGAGAUUGGUGACGAAGACAAAGAGUGUAGAGUAUAUGUCAUUCUUUUUAUCACUCUUUGUGUUUCUCUGUGGAAUUUCUUGGUUCAUCUAUGGUCUUAUCGGUCGUGACCCUUUUGUUGCAAUACCAAGUGGGUUUGAAUGUGCGUUAGGAGAAGAAAUCAACAGAUGCUGAAAAGGAUGAGAAGAAGACGGUGGAGAUGAAAGAUGAGGAGAAGAAACAAAAUGUGGUUUAUGGAAAGCAACAAGAGCAGCAAGUUUAGAUCCUUUUGAAUGAUUUGUUCUGUGGUUGUUCUAACGUGGUAGGACAAAGUAUUAUUAAGAUUCUAUUCGUUCUGUUUCCAUCUCUAACAAAGCGUUAUGUUAGUAUAUAGAUUAAGAAGCCUGUCGUCUGUGGUAUUGCUUCUCUCGGUUAUGAUCAUACAGAGAUUCUUGGAUAGUCUCUUUUGUCAGGAAAUAAAUGAAUCCAAAUGUUUUUUUUUUCUAAUCAGUUGGUUUUAUUUAGGACACACGCUUGCUGAAAUCUCUGCAGAGAAAGCUGGUAUCUUCAAGAGUGGAGUUCCUGCUUUUACAGUGCCUCAACCUGAUGAAGCAAUGAGUGUACUUGAUGAGAAAGCUUCAGAAUUGGAGGUAAAUGACUAUAUACAAAACAACCUAAUCACUAGACAGAUGUUGAGUUGAAUAGCUUUAUGAUUUGUAGUUGUAUCUUUUGAUUUGUAGCUUUAUGUCAUUUUUAUUUAAAAUUUUAUGUUAUCAAAUCUAUAUCAUUCAACUUAAAAAAAAAAAAAAUUUAAGAAGAAUAAGUUAUUUUCACUAACUAAGGUUCUUAACUUCUCAUAUCACCUUUAAAUCUAUUAAUUUAAUCAUUAGAACCUAUCAGGAGUUCUAAUGGAUGGAGUUAUGGAGUUGCUCUAAGAAACAGUGCUCGUUGCAUUGUCUACACACAGACAUGAUACACACAGCUUAAAUAAAAGAACCAAUUAACAUCGUUACUACAAACAUCGUGGUAAUAACAUCGACAAAAGGCUAAAACAUUAACAAAAUCAUCAAAGAAGAAAGUUUACUUUCACACUGUGGAGAUUGUCGCAACCUAUUGUUGUUUCUCACAAAAAAACAUUACACAUUAGCUUCUUACUGAUUUCAGUUUACGUUCAGGAUGUUUUUAGAUAAUCACAAAUCAUCGUUGAUUCUCGGUAUUCUAAUUGGGCUACUACAGUCAAGCUAGGCCCAUUCCUCUACAGUUUCAUAUGGAUAUUAUACUUUCUUAUUUGGCCCAUCUGUUAUCCUGCACUAUAUUUGCGAAGUGAUUUAUACACAUGUUGUCACUACAAUCAUUCUCGCUGAAAAAAAGAUGACAUGACACUUAAAAUAGAUGACAUAGUUUUAAAAAAUAGUGACAUGACAUCGUAUUAAGUGUGAGAUGUAAAAUUUCCUUAUAAAAAUUUAACUUUUUUUUCAGGGAUUUUAAAUAUGGUAAUAAAAAUAACUCAUAUAUCAUCAUUAAUGUCAAUUUUCCAUAUAAAUAUUUAUUUAUGGUAAACUAUUAAAUAUAUUAAUAAUUCAUAUAUCACAAUUAAAAUAAUAAUAUCUAUGUAUCUCACAUUAAUAAAAAUAAACUAAAUAAAGUAACACUAAUCUAAAACAAAUUUGAUAGUUAAAUAUUUACACAUUAUUUAAAUUUAUCUGUUCAUCUUCAUCGUUUAAAUUAAAGGAGUGAUCUAUAAUUUUUUCAUAGGCUUCCAAAUUUGUUGAUUCUUUAAUAAGGUUCAGUUAGUAAACGCCUUAUAGAUGUACAUAAACAUUUUUUCAAAGAUGAUCAAUAAAUUUAACAUUUCAUCAAAAA